UCACAAUAUUAUUUUCUAAUUGCUGCUUGAAAAUAAUCAUGUAAUUAAAUUUACUUGUAUUAUGAACAUUUUAUACGUUCCGGAAUAUUUUUUAUGCCGUUUAAUCACGCCAUACCUCGAGUUGCAUAUUUUGUUAUCCUCAUAUCACAUUGUCAAGCAGUAUAAAUACCUUCAGCCAAUCCUUAUUUCAAACUACAAAAUGAAGUUCAUAGUUGUUUGUGCCAUCUUCCUGUGCCCCAUUUACGCAUCAGUAUGCCUGAAAAAUGUUUGCUCCACCAUUGAUUGCAGCAACGAACCUUGUUCGUGUGAAGAGGGACAAGUUUUAUCUAAAGGAUAUUGUGGCUGCUGUAACAUAUGUGUUACACUUUUAAAAGAAGGACAGUUUUGCCUACUUUUAGGAAUUGGAGAUCCACCGCCACGUGCUCAAUGUGGUCCAGGAUUGAAAUGUGUGAAAAAUAGAUGUCAAAAAAUUUAAUAAUAUUGUAAUAAUAU